rnacentral:rRNA from 1 species
UACGGAGGGGGCUAGCGUUGUCCGGAAUCACUGGGCGUAAAGGGCGCGUAGGCGGCGCGGAUAGUCGGCGGUGAAAGCCCGGAGCUCAACUCCGGGUCGGCCGUCGAUACUUCCGGGCUUGAGCACUGUAGAGGCAGAUGGAAUUCCGGGUGUAGCGGUGGAAUGCGUAGAGAUCCGGAAGAACACCGGUGGCGAAGGCGGUCUGCUGGGCAGUUGCUGACGCUGAUGCGCGACAGCGUGGGGAGCAAACAGG